AGCUGGCCAUGGAAUCCUUCUUCACAAAUAGGUUGUCUUAAUCCUUAUGCGUUAGAGCAGUAACUUGUCAUUGAUCAUCUAUUUCUUUCACAUCUACACAUUGGAUCCUCGAUGGUGGUGGAACUGACCAGAUCAGUGAUCUAACUGCAUUGAUCCAUUCUAUCCUUGUUCGUAACCACACAGUACUACUACUUGAUGAGUCGCAUGCAAACAUCAAAUGAUUGGGAUGGGAACAGAGCAAGAUGGCUUAUACAGCUUCAUCGAGAUGGAGAUCGCUAGAUGUCAGGUGGCGACAUCUUUGUAUAUGUAUCUCCUAGUUCUAGCAUAGUUGAUUACGACAUUUCUCAAAUUAAAUAAAAUGUUACCCCUUCUUUCUAAUAAAAUUCUAUAAAUUUCUUGA